rnacentral:tRNA from 1 species
GAGGGUACAGCUCAGUGGCAGAGCAUGUGCCUAGCGUGCCCAGGGUCCUGGGUUCAAUCCCUGGUGCCUCCA